rnacentral:SRP_RNA from 10 species
CCGGGCGCGGUGGCGCGUGCCUGUAGUCCCAGCUACUCGGGAGGCUGAGGCUGGAGGAUCGCUUGAGUCCAGGAGUUCUGGGCUGUAGUGCGCUAUGCCGAUCGGGUGUCCGCACUAAGUUCGGCAUCAAUAUGGUGACCUCCCGGGAGCGGGGGACCACCAGGUUGCCUAAGGAGGGGUGAACCGGCCCAGGUCGGAAACGGAGCAGGUCAAAACUCCCGUGCUGAUCAGUAGUGGGAUCGCGCCUGUGAAUAGCCACUGCACUCCAGCCUGGGCAACAUAGCGAGACCCCGUCUCU